GCGCCCGUAGCUCAAAAGGAUAGAGCGUUGGCCUCCGGAGCCAGAGGCUGUGCGUUCGACUCGCACCGGGCGCA
rnacentral:tRNA from 1 species